rnacentral:rRNA from 1 species
CUGUGUCUGACACGGCGAGACCGCGGACGGCUCAUUAAAUCAGUCGUGGUCCAUAUGGGCCAGUGUUGAUCCUACUUGGACAACUGUGGUAAUUCCAGAGCUAAUACAUGCAACUCUUAUCCUGAAGGAGCGUCAUGCUCUCUGACGGAUGCUUUUAUUAGACCAAACCGCUGGGUGCGUGGUGCUUCACUUCGGUGUUCCCACGUUUGACUCGUGUGAUGGUGACUCUGAAUAACAUUUUUCUUGACAAGCGCAAGUACCCCUCUUAUGAGUUGGGACGGCGCUACCACUUUCGAGUGUCUGACUUAUCAGCUAUCAACCGUUCGUUAUGUGCGACCGAUGGCUUUGACGGGUAACGGGGAAUCAGAGUUCGAUUCCGGAGAGGCAGCCUGAGAGACGGCUACCACGUCCAAGGACGGCAGCAGGCACGCAAAUUACCCAAUCCCAGCACCUGGGGGAGGUAGUGACGAAAUCUAACGAUGCGGGCGCCCUUUCUGGGGCCCCGCAAUCGGAAUGGCCACUUUCUAAAAAACCUGUUGAGAACCUACUGAAGGGCAAGUCUGGUGCCAGCAGCCGCGGUAAUUCCAGCUUCAGUAGCAUCUAUUGCGCGCGUGCGCUUCAUACAUUGAGUGCGUGUUCGCGCGUUACGAGAUUGUGUUGUCGUGUGUGUGUGGGGGGAGAGGGCGUUCGUGUGUCUCUCACAAGCCCCCGUCCGUGACAAGCCUCCUCGCUUGUGUACAUAUCUGGAAUCGUUUCAUAUAAUGGAGUGAUGUGUAUCGCGCGCGCGUUAGUGGGUUUGCGUAUCGUGGUGCGCGUGUUUAGUGCCGGCCCUGUGCUUGUACGGCGCGUGUGUUGCGUGCGUUUCUCGCGCGUGCGUUGCGGCAUGUCGUAAGCUCCUUCGGUUUUACAGUCACCUUGAGUAAAUCAGAGUGCUCAAAGCAGUCGUGAGGGCCUUGUGCCCUGUGAACAGUCUUGACGGACUGACUUGGUUUUGCAUGGCAUGUCGGAAGACGACGUCGUGUGCUGGCUCAGAGAUGUAAUCAGUGGUACAAGCCAGCCUCGACGUACUGAUUAAAAGGUUCGGUCGAGGGCAUUGGUAUUGCGGGGCGAGAGGUGAAAUUCUAUGACCCCCGCAAGACCUCCUGAAGCGAAAGCGUCUGCCAAGGACGUUCUCACUAAUCAUGAACGAAAGUUAGAGGAUCGAAGGCGAUCAGAUACCGCCCUAGUUCUAACCGUAAACGAUGCCAACCAUCAAUCCGCGCGUAGCACCCUUCUUAACGGGCUCGGCGGGCAGCUCCCCACUCACGGGAAACCAGAGUCUCUGGGUUCCGGGGGGAGUCUGGUUGCAAAGCUGAAACUUAAAGGAAUUGACGGAAAGGCACCACCAGGCGUGGAGCCUGCGGCUUAAUUUGACUCAACACGGGCCAUCUCACCAGGCCAGCACUCUUGAAUGAUUGACAGAUUGAGAGCUCUUUCUCGAUUCAGUGGAUGGUGGUGCAUGGCCGUUCUUAGUUGGUGGAGUGAUCUGUCUGGUUAAUUCCGAUAACGAACGAGACUCUCCCCUGCUAACUAGUCGGUUGGAUCUUGUGUUAUGCGAGUUGUGUGCCGGGAACACCCGAUGUUGGAUGCGCGCUGUUGUUGGGGCGGCGGCGGAGGUGUUUGUGUCGUGUGGUGGUUAGUUAACGCUGCCGCUGCCUUUGCAGCACCUCUUCGUUUAGCUCCUCACGCGUGCUCCUUCGUUCGGGCCCCGGGCCACACACUCCAAGUCCGCCGCUUAUGCUAUAACUCUUCUUAGAGGGAUUCACGGUACUGAAGCCGUAAGAGACUGAGAGCAAUAACAGGUCUGUGAUGCCCUUAGAUGCUCUGGGCCGCACGCGCGCUACAAUGCCGGGCACAGCAGGUAGUUCUCCUGCUCCGACAGGAGCGGGUAACCCUCUGAAAGCCCUUUGUUUAUUUUGUCGUGUCUCGCUCGUGGGCUACUGCGCUGUGGGGGCGUGCUGCUUUACGGUGGUGCGUUCGUACGGUGUGUGUUCGCGUUGUGAGAUGCGAACGGCGUGAUGGGGCCUGGGACUUGCAAUUUUUUCCCACAAACGAGGAAUGCCUAGUAGCGGCGGGUCACUGAGCCCACCGUGACUCAGUCCCUGCCCUUUGUACACACCGCCCGUCGCUACUACCGAUUGGGUGUACCAGUGAGAGCCUUGGACUGGCGUCCGUUGUUACCUUC